rnacentral:lncRNA from 1 species
AGAGAUGGAGCUGGGUGAGGGGCUGCUGUCUGCAGUGUCAGCCUCUGCACCCCACCCACAGCCUCCCACGGCAUCCCCUCCCCAUCUCCCCUUUGUCUUCCUCUGUCUUCCUUUUUACUUCCUUUUCGCUGUUUAAUGAGAACGACUUCCAUUUGCUAUUUGUUGACUGAGUCCGGCACUGCAUUAAGCUCUGUCUACAUUUUGUCUUAGUGCUUGCAGGCACUUUAUAAGGUAGACGCAAGUAUUGUGCCACUUUUACACAUCAGGGAACGUAUGAACACAUCAGGUUGCUCAGCAAUGAAGUGGAAGAGCAUUGAUAGCCCUUUGGGCACAGAUCUGUGUGCCUCCAAAACCCAUGCUCUGAGCGCUGGUAACCUCUACUCCUCCUCUUCCUCACCUUGUCAGCAUCAGCACUCCACCUUCCCUUUCCUCCUCCGCUUCGAAUCUCAGAGCCAACUUCAGCUAGUGCCUCUCCCUUCGGAAACACCUCCGGGAAAUACCUCCUCCCAGAUCACCCCUGCCAGAACCAGCAACGACUAUGAGUACAGCACGUGGGUCUGCAGAUUGGCAAGGACCAAAAGAACUGAUUACUAUACAAGGAGUGGCUAUGGUGGUGAGAUUUGUCCUCUGCAAACCAUGACGGUGGUAGCUGGCAAAGGUUUGGUGAAAUAGGCUUUGGCAUACAUUGUUGAUGGGAAUGGUGCAUGCAGUGUUAAAGGGAAUUUAUCUGUCAAAUUUUUUUAAUGCACUUCAAUUUUGACCCAGCAAUUCUGCUUCUAGGAAAUUAUCCAACAGAUAAAUGUGCAAGUGCAAAAUGGCAUAUACACAAAUAUUUACUGCAGCAUUAUCUCAGCAAAAGGCUAGAGAUAACCCGAAUGUCCAUCAGAAGGGGACUGCUUAAAUAAAUUAUGGUAUAUCUGUAUAAUGGAAUAUUAAGCAAUAUUAAAAUAGUGAGAAUUUCA